rnacentral:rRNA from 1 species
CCUUCACCACAACAGCCGAACGGGAAAUCGUUCGUGACAUCAAGGAAAAACUCUGCUACGUCGCUCUUGACUUCGAGCAGGAAAUGGCAACAGCCGCAUCUUCUUCUUCACUAGAGAAGAGUUACGAACUUCCUGACGGUCAGGUCAUCACCAUUGGCAACGAAAGGUUCCGUUGCCCAGAGACACUCUUCCAACCAUCUUUCAUUGGUAUGGAAUCUGCCGGUAUCCAUGAGACAACAUACAACAGUAUCAUGAAGUGCGACAUUGAUAUCCGUAAGGAUCUCUACGCCAACUCCGUGCUCUCUGGUGGAACCAGUAUGUACCCAGGUAUUGCUGAUCGUAUGCAGAAGGAGAUCACCGCCCUCGCACCACCCACAAUGAAGAUCAAAAUUAUUGCUCCACCAGAGCGUAAAUACUCCGUAUGGAUCGGUGGAUCUAUCCUGGCUUCUCUAUCCACUUUCCAACAGAUGUGGAUCAGCAAGCAAGAGUACGAUGAAUCCGGUCCCAG